GCUUAUUUUUGUACGCGGCUGUGCCCGCGACUUUCCACGGGCACCCCGAGGCCCCUCGCAAAGUCUCACCCCAUUCCGAGUCCGGCGGACGAACUUCGCCCGCUCCCCCCACCAAGGCUAUAGCCCACCCGUUUUUUGGCCAAUUUUCCGCUGGGGGGUUUUGGCACUACGACCUUCGUGCGCUUAUUUUUUGGCGCGGCUUUGCCCGCGGCUUAUUUUUGGCGCCCCGAGGCCCUGCGCAAAGUCUCGCCCCAUUCCGAGUCCGGCGGACGAACUUCGCCCGCGCCCCACACCAGGGCUAUAGCCCACCCGUUUUUUGGCCAUUUUUCCGCUGGGGGGUUUUGGCACCACGACCUUCGGGCGCUUAUUUCUGGACGCGGCUGUGCCCGCGACUUCCCGCGGGCACCCCGAGGCCCCUCGCAAAGUCUCGCCCCAUUCCGAGUCCGGCGGACGAACUUCGCCCGCGCCCCCCACCAAGGCUAUAGCCCACCCGUUUUUUGGCCAUUUUUCCGCUGGGGGGUUUUGGCACCACGACCUUUGGGCACUUAUUUUUGGGCGCGGCUUUGCCCGCGGCUUAUUUUUGGCACCCCGAGGCCCCUCGCAAAGUCUCGCCCCAUUCCGAGUCCGGCGGACGAACUUCGCCCGUGCCCCCCACCAAGGCUAUAGCCCACCCGUUUUUUGGCCAUUUUUCCGCUGGGGGGUUUUGGCACCACGACCUUCGGGCCCUUUUUUUUGGGCGCGGCUUUGCCCGCGGCUUAUUUUUGGCGCCCCGAGGCCCCGCGCUAAGUCUCGCCCCAUUCCGAGUCCGGCGGACGAACUUCGCCCGCG
rnacentral:lncRNA from 1 species